AGAUUAAACACGCCCUCAGUUAGCUUUCUGCUGGUCUCUCCUCUGUGCCUAAUGGCCUUCUUUGGAACAUUUUAUGUGAGCGGAAAUAAAUCGCUCCUGAAAUUGCUUCUGUCAGGCACUUUGUCAUAGUAACAAGAGUAACUAAUCCACCCUCCAGGACCCUGGGGGAGGGGCUCAGCGUUCAAGAACAACAACAACAAAAAAAAAAUGGGGGCAGAGGGACCUGGUGGUUCAACAUUCAAGAGCAAGAAAGAUGGGGGCAGAGGGGCCUGGUGGCUCCCUCUGGUGGUCAGAGAAGAGAGAUUUUAGAUUUGCUCAGAGGUGGAUGGCAGAUAACAUGAGCCAGAGAUUCCCUGAUAUCAGAGACAUUGCUAUACACAGCAAAUAAUUUGAACGUGCCUUUCAUAAGAAAACCAGCUAUUCAGAACCUGGACCCCCUGAGCCACCUCGAAGACAGAAUCCCAGUCUCAGCUCAACCUCAUUUGCUGGCUUACGCUCUGGGAUGCCAUUUACCUGCCCAAAUCCCUCAGGGCCAAUUUCAGUCACCUUGGGGCAGCCUUGUUCCUGAAUCCGCCAAGACUCUAUAGUGAGGGCCCCAGGAGCCUGCUCACUGCCUCCCCCACUCUCUCUUACUAAGACUACACAGCAAGAGGUCCUUGAAUCCAGAGUCCUGGCCACACCCAUGCUGCCUGUGCCUCAGCCUCGUGGGACCACAGCUCUCUCUGCAGUGAGAGAGGUGGUGUGUUGGGCAGGAAAACCCACCUUUGCGUGGCUCAGCAGGAUAAUCCUCACCAGCACCACAUUGAUGUGGGCCCCCAACGACUCAUCAUGGUAGAUUUCGUUGACCUGAAAGACAACAGGGAGAUAUGAUCAGGAACCAUGUGCCAAACUCGAUUCUGGCAUCUUGUCCCUAAAGCCCCAGCCCUGGCUGCUACAAACACCUGCCUGGAUUUCUGAAGCGUCCCCCUGAGACACCCCGCCUGCUGGCCCACAGAGUCUUCACUUAGAGCUGAACUUGAACCAGAGAAUUCACUCGCCGCCAUCUCCCACUGAAGCAUGGAGCUCCUUCCAGAAGGAAUGAGAGCUGUUGUCAGAGCAGAAGCCACUCCUGGCUGUUGCUGCUCGGUGGGAAAUGUUACCCGUGCACGUGCUACAAUCCACACUUGUAUCCCACAACCCCGCACCCAUGCAUUCAAUCAACCCAGGUCAAAAUUAUUUGGAGAAAAGUUGGCAGAAAAUGUAUAGACUCCCCCCCCCCCCUUCUAAGCAAUAGAACGGCACUUGUGUGUUAUGAAGCACU